UACGAAGGGUGCAAACGUUGCUCGGAAUCAUUGGGCGUAAAGCGCACGUAGGCGGCUUUGCAAGUCGGAUGUGAAAUCCCUCGGCUCAACCAAGGAAGUGCAUCCGAAACUGCAGAGCUUGAGUACUUAAGAGGAUCGCGGAAUUCCCGGUGUAGAGGUGAAAUUCGUAGAUAUCGGGAGGAACACCAGUGGCGAAGGCGGCAUCCUGGACCGGCAUUGACGCUGAUGAGCGAAAGCCAGGGGAGCAAACGGG
rnacentral:rRNA from 1 species